rnacentral:rRNA from 1 species
UGAGUAACACGUGGGUGAUCUGCCCUGCACUUUGGGAUAAGCCUGGGAAACUGGGUCUAAUACCGAAUAGGACCGCGCUCUUCAUGGGGUGUGGUGGAAAGCUUUUGCGGUGUGGGAUGGGCCCGCGGCCUAUCAGCUUGUUGGUGGGGUAAUGGCCUACCAAGGCGACGACGGGUAGCCGGCCUGAGAGGGUGACCGGCCACACUGGGACUGAGAUACGGCCCAGACUCCUACGGGAGGCAGCAGUGGGGAAUAUUGCACAAUGGGCGCAAGCCUGAUGCAGCGACGCCGCGUGAGGGAUGACGGCCUUCGGGUUGUAAACCUCUUUCAAUAGGGACGAAGCGCAAGUGACGGUACCUAUAGAAGAAGGACCGGCCAACUACGUGCCAGCAGCCGCGGUAAUACGUAGGGUCCGAGCGUUGUCCGGAAUUACUGGGCGUAAAGAGCUCGUAGGUGGUUUGUCGCGUUGUUCGUGAAAACUCACAGCUUAACUGUGGGCGUGCGGGCGAUACGGGCAGACUAGAGUACUGCAGGGGAGACUGGAAUUCCUGGUGUAGCGGUGGAAUGCGCAGAUAUCAGGAGGAACACCGGUGGCGAAGGCGGGUCUCUGGGCAGUAACUGACGCUGAGGAGCGAAAGCGUGGGGAGCGAACAGGAUUAGAUACCCUGGUAGUCCACGCCGUAAACGGUGGGUACUAGGUGUGGGUUUCCUUCCUUGGGAUCCGUGCCGUAGCUAACGCAUUAAGUACCCCGCCUGGGGAGUACGGCCGCAAGGCUAAAACUCAAAGGAAUUGACGGGGGGCCCGCACAA